CAUCCUCUCAUUUUCUAAUUUUACUUUAUCGAAUACAUGUGCCCAAAUCUCCAUUUUGAUCCAUUUAUCCCUUAUAAAAGUAGGUAAGCCGACUUCUAGUAGCUAGUAUCUUAUUCUAUAUUACAACUUGUGCCUAUGUUCCCCUCUCUCUCUCUCUCUUUCUCUCUCCUUUUUGGGUAAGUCUUCAUAUUCCCAUAGCCAUAGGGAACAUUCUAUAAAGUUUGUAUGCUGAAAUGUUGAAUUUCUUGGCCCUAAGAUGACUUCCACUAUCUUUAGGAUAGGUUUGCUCUUCUUUUUAGAGCAUUCCAAGCCAAUCUUUUACGACAUGGACUCCACUCUCUCUCUCUCCAUAUAAUCUAUUUCUCUUUAUAAUUUUUUUUUUUUCCAAAACAAAUCUUCAAGGAUAGGAUGAAUAUAUAGAAGUUGCUCAUCCUAUGGUUUCUGAUAAAGUGACAAGGGUAUUAAAGGACAUUUUAGAUGAAGGAAGAGGGCAUCAUCAAUUUUCAUAAAUGUUCAAUCCGUUGUGAAGGGAAUUGAUAAGCUUGAACACGCUUCUGCCAGUUCACGGUGCAAAACUUCCUCUGACGAUCAAGUUAGUGAAGGUAUUUUAGAAAAUAUCAUAGUUUUUGGAAUCUUUUCUGGCAGGAAAUGGGGGUUAAAACUAAAAAUAAGAACACUAAUCACAAAAUUAUUGGUUUUGAGACAUGUAGAAUCAUUAUUUUUAAGACAAUAGUUGCCACCACUCUAAGCAAAGUUUGCAAAUAAACUGUUAUUAGCCAUUAGAAACAGUCAAAUGUCACUUAAGGCAUACGUUUCUGCACAAUUCUACAAAGCCUUAAAGUCUCAAAUAAUUUGGUAGAUUUAUGUCAAAGGAAUUGUCUUUCGCUCGACCGAACCAUCAAACAAACCUAAAUUGCCUCACACAGAAAGUUUGAUUGACCUUCAAACAACAUUCUUUCGAGCGAUCGUAAAGCUGUAACUUCACUUGACCUUGCACAACAUGUCACUCAAGUGAAUAAUAAAGAAUUUGCUCUACUCUUGCUCGAGUGAACUUUUAAAAACGAUCAUUAUACUUUGUAUCAUUCGUUAUUUCACUUCCAAAGUGGGAUUAACAUAUAUAUGAUAACCUACAACCUAUAACAUUUUAUACAUAUAUACCUCUCUCUCUCUCUCUCUCUCUCCAACAUUAUUUGAAAAUUUUAUUAAUAUAAAAAUUACGGUUUUUUUUUAAAAUUUUUUAAUUACUCAAUUAUAUAUUUCAACUUCAAAUUUAUGUUGAAUAAAAAUUACAUUUUUUUAUAUGAGUUAAAGAAAAUUUCAAACAAGUCAACUUAAUUAUCUUGACACGAAUCUUUACACAAAUAAUAAAUCAGAUUAUUUUGAAUUAAUUGCAAGUUAAGCAAAUCAACACAGAAUUGACAUAUUUAUUAAUUGUAUCAAAGUAAAUUAAUCUAUUUUAACCAGAACUCAUUUAUACUAAAUAUUAAUUCGCAAAAAACUUGACAUGUUAAUUACAAGUUGUGUCAAAUAUUGUGACCAUUGUCUCAAAAGUCGUCCCUUGAACCCUAGCUAAAGUAGGCUGCCUUCAAUGAAGGGUUUGCCCGUUUUGAAAGUUGUUCGGCCAUACUUGCGACUGUUCUAAUUGAAGAGUCAUGUCUGGGACUUGGUCGGUCGGUUGGCCUCGAGCUUGGCUGGACUCCUUUUGGGUCUGCCAUGGAUCACAGAUUCAUGGUUCUUGGUCACACUCAUUGGGCUCGGCCUGGUUUUGUGUCUGCUCAUUCUGGGCUCAGAGGUACAUUGGUAUGGUGAUAGUGUCCCCCAAAUCAGAUUCGUGAUUCCUUUCAGCGUAAACUGUUUAAGGAAUUGGUAGUUGGUGUACAUGUUAUGCUUAAAGUGGAAGUAGUUUACUAAAUAAUGAAACCUAUAGGCAAGUGGAAUGCAUCUAAUUAAUACAGAAAGAGACAACCCCACAUAAUUCUCUUUAUUUUAUUUAUUUAUUUAUUUAUUUCUGAAUCCCACGUAAUUCUCUUUUGAAAUGUUAAUACUUUGCCUUUGUAUAUUAUCUUACCAAACCUUCUCAAAUUCUCAAUGCAUAGCGGGUCUCUCACAAGCUUAGGAGAUAUUGUUUGGUCACAAUGGGGCUUCACAUUUUGCAUGCUCAUCUUAAUAAUGCUUUUUCUGAGGCUGUCAACCCCAGUAAGAGCAUCCACAGCAGUGGAGCUAAAUUUUUAGCAAUUUAGCUCCACCAAAAGUUACUUUAUCUAUUUUAGCUACACAUAUAAUACAGCAGUGGAUCAAUUUUAGCUUUCAACACAAUAAAAUAAUAUAUUCAUCACAAUAAAAUAAUAUUUUUACUACAAUAAAAUAAUAAUAUUUUUACUACAAUAAAAUAAUAUAUCAUCACCAUCACCACCACAGCCCAAACAUCCUCCUCUACCACCACCACCGGCCACCAGUCCACAGCAGGAAAGAAGGAAAAAAAAAAAACCACCAACCCAAAUCGAACCCACAAAUCCACAACCACCACCGGCCACCAGUCCACAGCAGGAAAAAAAAAAAAAAAAAACUCAACCCAAAUUGAACCCACAAAUCCACAACCACCACCACCACCACCGGCCACCAGUCCACAGCAGGAAAAAAAAAAAAAAACCAAAUCUCCGAUCGGCAACGUGAUACAACCAUUGACGGCGUGAAAGAACCAAAUCCACAUGCAAGCACUCCGCAGCAGUCCACAGCAGGAAAAAAAAAAAAAGCCCAAAUCUCCGAUCGGCGGCAUGAUACAACCAUUGGCGGCGUGAAAGAACCAAUAUCCACAUGCAAGCACUCCGAUCAGCGGCGAGCUCCAUGGGUUUCCCAGUCAGGCACUCCGAUCAGCGGCGAGCUUCGUGGGUCGGUGAUCGGAGUUGAGAGAGUGAGACCGGAGUUGAGAGAGUGAGCUUGAGUCGAGCUUCAUGGAUCGGUGACCGGAGUUGAGAGAGUGAGACCGGAGUUGCAGAGUGAACUUGAGAGAUGAGAGUGAAAGAGAGAGAGAGAGAGAGAGAGGCAUGAAAGAAUGAAAAAAAAAAAACGGAAAGUGUAUUAUUUUAAUAAUCCAACCGAAUAAAAAAAAAUAUAUUUUUUUGCUCUCGGCUACAGUGCACAUCUAUAUAUAGAUGUGCACUGUAGCAAAUCAUCUAAAAUUUUAGCUUUUGCCUCCACUGUUGCAGCGUGAGUUUUGGGUGUGUGGAGCUAAAUUUUAGCAAUAUAGCUUUAUACCUCCUCUGCUGUGAGUGCUCUAAGCAGUAACUCUUUUCUUCAGGAGCAUCAAACUUGAGAUGAACAUCUUGAUGAAUUAAAGAUGCUGGGGCUUUUUGUUAUUAAUGGGCUGACAAUAUAUAUUCAUGAUGUGACAUGCUAUAUGAUAUAGGUAGCUAGGGUUAUUAAUUACAUCAGUCUCAUCUAAUGGAGAAUGCUUCUAAGGAUGCUUUACUCUGAAGAAAUUAAUCAGAUUAUGUCCUUUUGACAUUUGUCUGUUGUUUGCGUCACUGCCUCAAAAUGUCCUACAAAGUCAAGAAUAAAUACGGAUAGCAGUUCUAGUUGUAGAGUUACAAUGGUUGGGCGAUCCUCUCAGAUAUCUAGCUAGUUCUAUCUAAUUACCGUACAUCUAAUUCUAAUUAUAGUGGAUUUUUUUCCAUGGAAAAUUUGGGUUAUGGGAGUAAUGCAUGUUUCCAAGUUGUGUUGCUAGGACUCCACUUUAUAUAUUACUUUUUGAAAUUUAUGCCUUCAAUUUUCAGAUAAGAUGCCUAGCCGCAUCUAAUAAUAAUUAAAAAUAAAAAAGAUUGUUUGUCUAGAAAAAGUAUUCACUUUUACGAGAAGAGUCCUCCUUAAUCCCUCAUUUUAUAACAAACUUAAAUGUGAAAGGAGGGAAAAAUCUUUUCGUAAGAGUAAAUAAAUUCACGUCUGCAUGGUUGAACUUUUCACAUGAUUAAUGUAUUUCGAUCAAUAUCAAUAAGUUUAUAAGCAUAACUUCUUUCUUAUUUUUAUUUACAAUUAUUGGUGUGAUAAGUGUCAUAAUAAACAAUAAAAUGAUGUUAGUGAUAGACUCAUGUGAAAAUUAAUAACAACCUACCAUCAUAAUUAACAAAUGGUGAAAAUAUUUUGUUUGUAGCAUUCUUCGUUAUUUAUAGUUUGGUUUUUAUGGUAUUUAUAGUUUGGUUUUCAUGGUAAAUUCUAAUUUUGUUCAAACUCCUACAAUUGAAUUCAUAUUAUAAGAUUAAGGUUAAUCAAGACCCCAAUAAAAUUUCAUAGGUCCAUCAUGGAAUCACCACAUGUUAGAUCAAUAUAAUAUUGAAAUUUUUUAUGGGAUUAGACCUAUCAAUAUUAAAGGUGAAGUCUGUCUAAUAUCUUGUAGAAGAAAAGAGUCUUUUCUUUUGCUUGCAAUGGAAUGAGAUAAAACCCACGAGCCACAUAAGGAAUGGUUUCUUUGUCACCUUUGGGGGAGGAAAGUAAAACUUUACCGUAAGUAAAGAAUAUUCUUGGUUGGCUUUUAUAUCUUUUCAUUUCAUGAUUAUUCAAUGAUGAAAUAUGUACUAGUUUAUUAGGUGAGAGUUUGUCUUUCUCCUUAUAUGGGUAUUAGGUGUUAGUACACGUACGUCCACCUUUCCCCUUUAAGUUCCCUCAAUCAAAAAGAGAGAGAUAGCAGAGAGGAAUGCUUUCUUUCAAGAUGGAAAAGUGUCAGUCAUAAUAAAACUGAAAUUGUUGAGUACUGAGUAUGCCCAGCCUUCCACUACAUCACAUUAAUCCCAUCAACCUAAACUGAAAUUGUUGUACCUUUUCGAAAGUAUCUACAUUAUGUUAAAACGUGUAUAUGGUUUUAAAUUUUUCUUUGAAUUUCAUCUACUUAUGUUUUACUCCAUUAGUCACUUAAAUGGUUGGUGAUUAAAUGAAUGUGAAACUACAAUGUUAGUUUCUAAAGUUUAUUUACCGAGCGCUAUUAAUUCCUGAAGUUUGAAAUGAGCACUAUUAUUACUUAA